UACGGGGGGGGCAAGCGUUGUUCGGAAUUACUGGGCGUAAAGGGCUCGUAGGCGGCCAACUAAGUCAGACGUGAAAUCCCUCGGCUUAACCGGGGAACUGCAUCUGAUACUGGAUGGCUUGAGUUCGGGAGAGGGAUGCGGAAUUCCAGGUGUAGCGGUGAAAUGCGUAGAUAUCUGGAGGAACACCGGUGGCGAAGGCGGCAUCCUGGACCGACACUGACGCUGAGGAGCGAAAGCCAGGGGAGCAACCGGG
rnacentral:rRNA from 1 species